AUUGAACGCUGGCGGAAUGCUUUACACAUGCAAGUCGAGCGGCAGCGCGGCCUUCGGGCUGGCGGCGAGCGGCGAACGGGUGAGUAAUGCAUCGGAACAUGCCCAGUCGUGGGGGAUAACACUUCGAAAGAAGUGCUAAUACCGCAUACGUCCUGAGGGGGAAAGCGGGGGAUCGCAAGACCUCGCGCGAUUGGAGUGGCCGAUGUCAGAUUAGCUAGUUGGUGGGGUAAAGGCCUACCAAGGCGACGAUCUGUAGCUGGUCUGAGAGGAUGAUCAGCCACACUGGGACUGAGACACGGCCCAGACUCCUACGGGAGGCAGCAGUGGGGAAUUUUGGACAAUGGGGGCAACCCUGAUCCAGCCAUUCCGCGUGAGUGAAGAAGGCCUUCGGGUUGUAAAGCUCUUUUGGCAGGAACGAAACGGUGGGCUCUAACAUAGUCCGCUAAUGACGGUACCUGAAGAAGAAGCACCGGCUAACUACGUG
rnacentral:rRNA from 1 species